rnacentral:rRNA from 1 species
AAUAGAUACCCAGGUAGUCCACGCAGUAAACGAUGCACACUAGGCGUGGAAGGACUUGACCCCUUCCGUGCCGGAGCAAACGCGAUAAGUGUGCCGCCUGGGGAGUACGGUCGCAAGACUAAAACUCAAAGGAAUUGACGGGGGGCCCGCACAAGCGGCGGAGCGUGUUCUUUAAUUCGUCGCAACGCGAAGAACCUUACCAGGGUUUGACAUAUCGCUUGCAUGCCGCAGAGAUGCGGAGGCCUACGAGGGUGCGAUACAGGUGCUGCAUGGCUGUCGUCAGCUCGUGUCGUGAGAUGUUGGGUUAAGCCCCGCAACGAGCGCAACCCCUGUGGUCAGUUGAGAUUUUCUGGCCAGACUGCCGGAAGCAAACCGGAGGAAGGUGGGGAUGAUGUCAAGUCAGCAUGGCCCUUACAUCCUGGGCGAGAAACACGCUACAAUGGCCGGGACAGAGGGUAGCCAAGCGGUAACGCGGAGCCAAUCCCGAGAAACCCGGUCUCAGUUCGGAUCGUGGG